CAGUAGCCGCGGGAAUACGUAGGUGGCAAGCGUUGUCCGGAAUUAUUGGGCGUAAAGGGCUCGCAGGCGGUUUCUUAAGUCUGAUGUGAAAGCCCCCGGCUCAACCGGGGAGGGUCAUUGGAAACUGGGAAACUUGAGUGCAGAAGAGGAGAGUGGAAUUCCACGUGUAGCGGUGAAAUGCGUAGAGAUGUGGAGGAACACCAGUUGCGAAGGCGACUCUCUGGUCUGUAACUGACGCUGAGGAGCGAAAGCGUGGGGAGCGAACAGGAUUAGAUACCCGUGUAGUCCCUGUCUCUUAUAC
rnacentral:rRNA from 1 species